UGAAUACGAGACGCUAAGGCGUCGAAGUAGUGUAUGUCAUACUUCCAAGAAAAGCUUGCACUGUCAUAAGUAAAAAAUGCCUGUACCAUAACCGACACAGGUGGGUAGGUAGAGUAUACUAAGGGGCGCGAGAUAACUCUCUCUAAGGAACUCGGCAAAAUGACUCCGUAACUUCGGGAGAAGGAGUGCCUUAUUUAUAAGGUUGCAAUAACAAGAUCCAAGCAACUGUUUAUCAAAAACACAGGUCUCCGCUAAGUCGUAAGACGAUGUAUGGGGGCUGACGCCUGCCCAGUGCCAGAAGGUUAAAGAAGUUGGUUAGUGUAUGCGAAGCUGAUGACUGAAGCCCUGGUGAACGGCGGCCGUAACUAUAACGGUCCUAAGGUAGCGAAAUUCCUUGUCGGGUAAGUUCCGACCCGCACGAAAGGCGUAAUGAUUUGGAUACUGUCUCGGAGAGAGGCUCGGUGAAAUAGACUUGUCUGUGAAGAUGCGGACUACCUGCACCAGGACAGAAAGACCCUAUGAAGCUUUACUGUAACUUGAAAUUGGAAUUGGACUUUGCUCGCGCAGUAUAGGUGGGAAGCGUUGAAAAUAUUCUUGCGGGAGUAUUGGAGCUAUCAGUGAGAUACCACUCUUGUAAUGUUAGAUUUCUAACUUUGAACCAUAAUCUGGUCAAAGAACAGUUUCAGGUGGGCAGUUUGACUGGGGCGGUCGCCUCCCAAAUGGUAACGGAGGCGUACAAAGGUUUCCUCUGAACGGAUAGAAAUCGUAUCUAGAGUGUAAAGGCAUAAGGAAGCUUGACUGUGAGACCUACAAGUCGAGCAGGGACGAAAGUCGGUCUUAGUGAUCUGACGGUACUGAGUGGAAAGGCCGUCACUCAACGGAUAAAAGUUACUCUAGGGAUAACAGGCUGAUCUCCCCCAAGAGUUCACAUCGACGGGGAGGUUUGGCACCUCGAUGUCGGCUCAUCGCAUCCUGGGGCGGUAGUACGUCCCAAGGGUUGGGCUGUUCGCCCAUGAAAGCGGUACGCGAGCUGGGUUCAGAACGUCGUGAGACAGUUCGGUCCAUAUCCGGUGUAGGCGCUAGAAUAUUGAGAGGAGCCUUCUUUAGUACGAGAGGACCGAGAAGGACACACCGCUGGUGUACCAGUUAUCGUGCCAACGGUAAACGCUGGGUAGCUAUGUGUGGAGUGGAUAACCGCUGAAAGCAUCUAAGUGGGAAGCCCAUCUCGAGAU
rnacentral:rRNA from 1 species